GCGACAGGCUUAACACAUGCAAGUCGAGGGGCAGCGGGGGUAGCAAUACCCGCCGGCGACCGGCGCACGGGUGAGUAACGCGUAUGCAACUUACCUAUCAGAGGGGGAUAACCCGGCGAAAGUCGGACUAAUACCGCAUGAAGCAGGGAUCCCGCAUGGGAAUAUUUGCUAAAGAUUCAUCGCUGAUAGAUAGGCAUGCGUUCCAUUAGGCAGUUGGCGGGGUAACGGCCCACCAAACCGACGAUGGAUAGGGGUUCUGAGAGGAAGGUCCCCCACAUUGGUACUGAGACACGGACCAAACUCCUACGGGAGGCAGCAGUGAGGAAUAUUGGUCAAUGGCCGAGAGGCUGAACCAGCCAAGUCGCGUGAGGGAUGAAGGUUCUAUGGAUCGUAAACCUCUUUUAUAAGGGAAUAAAGUGCGGGACGUGUCCCGUUUUGUAUGUACCUUAUGAAUAAGGAUCGGCUAACUCCGUGCCAGCAGCCGCGGUAAUACGGAGGAUCCGAGCGUUAUCCGGAUUUAUUGGGUUUAAAGGGUGCGUAGGCGGCCUUUUAAGUCAGCGGUGAAAGUCUGUGGCUCAACCAUAGAAUUGCCGUUGAAACUGGGGGGCUUGAGUAUGUUUGAGGCAGGCGGAAUGCGUGGUGUAGCGGUGAAAUGCAUAGAUAUCACGCAGAACCCCGAUUGCGAAGGCAGCCUGCCAAGCCAUGACUGACGCUGAUGCACGAAAGCGUGGGGAUCAAACAGGAUUAGAUACCCUGGUAGUCCACGCAGUAAACGAUGAUCACUAGCUGUUUGCGAUACACUGUAAGCGGCACAGCGAAAGCGUUAAGUGAUCCACCUGGGGAGUACGCCGGCAACGGUGAAACUCAAAGGAAUUGACGGGGGCCCGCACAAGCGGAGGAACAUGUGGUUUAAUUCGAUGAUACGCGAGGAACCUUACCCGGGUUUGAACGCAUUCGGACCGAGGUGGAAACACCUUUUCUAGCAAUAGCCGUUUGCGAGGUGCUGCAUGGUUGUCGUCAGCUCGUGCCGUGAGGUGUCGGCUUAAGUGCCAUAACGAGCGCAACCCUUGCCACUAGUUACUAACAGGUAAAGCUGAGGACUCUGGUGGGACUGCCAGCGUAAGCUGCGAGGAAGGCGGGGAUGACGUCAAAUCAGCACGGCCCUUACAUCCGGGGCGACACACGUGUUACAAUGGCGUGGACAAAGGGAAGCCACCUGGCGACAGGGAGCGAAUCCCCAAACCACGUCUCAGUUCGGAUCGGAGUCUGCAACCCGACUCCGUGAAGCUGGAUUCGCUAGUAAUCGCGCAUCAGCCAUGGCGCGGUGAAUACGUUCCCGGGCCUUGUACACACCGCCCGUCAAGCCAUGGGAGCCGGGGGUACCUGAAGUCCGUAACCGCAAGGAGCGCCCUAGGGUAAAACUGGUAAUUGGGGC
rnacentral:rRNA from 1 species